rnacentral:lncRNA from 1 species
CAGCUAUGGGGUCACCACAGCCCCAUAGACAGCUAUGGGGACACCACAACCCCAUGGACAGCUAUGGGGACAUCACAGCCCCAUAGACAGCCAUGGGGACACCGCAGCCCCAUAGACAGCCAUGGGGACACCGUGACCCCAUUGACAGCCAUAGGGACACCGCAGCCCCAUAGACAGCCAUGGGGACACUGUGACCCCAUAGACAGCCAUGGGGACACCACAGCCCCAUAGACAGCCAUGGGGACACCACAGCCCCAUAGACAGCUAUGGGGACAUCACAGCCCCAUAGACAGCCAUGGGGACAUCACAGCCCCAUUUAUGGCCAUGGGAUAACUGUGACCCCAUAGACAGCCAUGGGGACAUCACAGCCCCAUAGGCAGCCAUGGGGACAUCACAGCCCCAUUUAUGGCCAUGGGGACACUGCAACCCCACUGAUGGCUAUGGGGACAUCACAGCCCCAUUGAAAGCCAUGGGGUAACUGUGACCCCAUAGACAGCCAUGGGGACACAUGGGCAGGAAAACAACCCCAUAGCAGCCCCAUAGAUUCACAUACAAUGGGGCCGUGCCAUGGAGGUGAGUGAACAGCUACAGCCCCAGGGCCAGGGAGAGCAGGUUCUCCCUCCUUAACCCUAUUACCCUAAUGAGUGCCCCUAAUUACCCUAAUGAGUGAGUGCCCCUAAUUACCCUAAUGAGUGAGUGCCCCUAAUUACCCUAAUGAGUGAGUGCCCCUAAUUACCCUAAUUAGUGCCCUGGGGUGCCCUCAUUGCCACGUGGCACCGCCUGCCCCAAAACCGCAGCCAUGGGUCAAUGGGGACGGCUAUGGGUCAAUGGGGACGGCUAUGGGGCAAUGGGACGGCUAUGGGUCAAUGGGACGGCUAUGGGUCAGUGGGGACGGCUAUGGGGCAAUGGGGACGGCUAUGGGGCAAUGGGGACGGCUAUGGGGCAAUGGGGAUGGCUAUGGUCAUAUGGGGGGCGCAAAUCAACCCCCCUACUCCCACCCCUCCGCACGUCCCUCGCUCUAUCAC